rfam:TPA: Bos taurus chromosome 24, whole genome shotgun sequence.
UAGCAUUUGGUGUAAUUGGGAGCCUGAAGAGUUUUGAGCUCUUAGGAGUAGGUUCAAUCCCUAUAGUUCUAG